rnacentral:rRNA from 1 species
GACGAACGCUGGCGGCGUGCUUAACACAUGCAAGUCGAACGAUGAUGCCCAGCUUGCUGGGUGGAUUAGUGGCGAACGGGUGAGUAACACGUGAGUAACCUGCCCCUGACUCUGGGAUAAGCGUUGGAAACGACGUCUAAUACUGGAUAUGACUGCCGGCCGCAUGGUCUGGUGGUGGAAAGAUUUUUUGGUUGGGGAUGGACUCGCGGCCUAUCAGCUUGUUGGCGAGGUAAUGGCUCACCAAGGCGACGACGGGUAGCCGGCCUGAGAGGGUGACCGGCCACACUGGGACUGAGACACGGCCCAGACUCCUACGGGAGGCAGCAGUGGGGAAUACUGCACAAUGGGUGAAAGCCUGAUGCAGCAACGCCGCGUGAGGGAUGACGGCCUUCGGGUUGUAAACCUCUUUUAGUAGGGAAGAAGCGUAAGUGACGGUACCUGCAGAAAAAGCACCGGCUAACUACGUGCCAGCAGCCGCAGUAA